ACACGACUACAUUAGAUACCCGCGUUAGUCCUAGCCGUAAACGAUACUCGCUAGGUGUCGGCCACGGUGCGACCGUUGUCGGUGCCGUGGGAAGCCGUGAAGCGAGCCACCUGGGAAGUACGGCCGCAAGGCUGAAACUUAAAGGAAUUGGCGGGGGAGCACCGCAACGGGAGGAGCGUGCGGUUCAAUUGGAUUCAACGCCGGACAACUCACCAGGAGCGACGGUUACAUGAAGGCCAGGCUGAUGACCUUGCCUGAUUUUCCG
rnacentral:rRNA from 1 species